AGGCUGAGUCUGCCAAGCAAGCUGUCGCCCCGCUUCCUCUUUGACGGCGCUUUUAUCCUCUGGACGCUGCCAUCAGGGGCUGCUUUACCUCUCAGAAAUCCUCAGAAAGAAUAUUCCAGGGCAAUACCCGGCAGUGUCACCUGCUCCUGGAUGUCUUCAACUCCACCGAGCAUGAGCUGACGGUCAGCACCAGGAGCAGCGAGGCGCUCAUCCUGCACGCCGGCGAGUGCCAGCGAAUGGCUAUUCAAGUGGACAAGUUCAACUUUGAGAGUUUCCCGGAGUCCCCUGGGGAGAAGGGGCAAUUUGCAAACCCCAAGCAGCUGGAGGAAGAGCGGCGGGAAGCCCGAGGCCUGGAGAUCCACAGCAAGCUGGGCAUCUGCUGGAGAAUCCCCUCCCUGAAGCGCAGCGGCGAGGCGAGUGUGGAAGGACUCCUGAACCAGCUCGUCCUGGAGCACCUGCAGCUGGCGCCUCUGCAGUGGGAUGUGCUGGUGGACGGACAGCCAUGUGACCGCGAGGCUGCGGCGGCCUGCCAGGUGGGCGACCCCGUGCGCCUGGAGGUGCGGCUGACCAACCGGAGCCCGCGCAGCGUA
rnacentral:sRNA from 1 species